UACGAAGGGGGCUAGCGUUGCUCGGAAUCACUGGGCGUAAAGCGCACGUAGGCGGCUUUCUAAGUCAGGGGUGAAAUCCUGGAGCUCAACUCCAGAACUGCCUUUGAUACUGGAAAGCUUGAGUUCGGGAGAGGUGAGUGGAACUGCGAGUGUAGAGGUGAGAUUCGUAGAUAUUAGGAAGAACACCAGUGGCGAAGGCGGCUCACUGGUCCGGUACUGACGCUGAGGUGCGAAAGCGUGGGGAGCAAACAGG
rnacentral:rRNA from 1 species